rnacentral:lncRNA from 1 species
UUCUUCCCCAAAAAUUUUAGAUUUCCCUCUCAUAUUCACAAACAAUUGGAAAUUUAUCUCUCAUAAUCGAUCGUAUCCUCCGCUCAAUUCCCAUCCCCCAUCUUCCGACCAGACUGUCAUCUCCUCAAAUCGAUUCCCGCCACUGCCUCACUAAUUAAUCACGGAUGAGCUACCGACGAUCCACCACUUCACCACCAGAAAAUCAUCAUCGAUGCUCGAUUCCUUGACGCUAAACUUGUCAUCGCUUCAAUCCUCACUACAGCCCUCGACAGGGUAGAUAUCAUGCAGCAACUUUGAGCUAAGUUUUUUGAAGUUCUCACCCAAAAGAACAUGUAGACUCCUCAUGUAAAUAGUUAGAAUUUGGAAUUUGUUACUUAUUACACAAUGUUUUGCUAACAUU